rnacentral:rRNA from 1 species
GAUCCUGGCUCAGGAUGAACGCUGGCGGCGUGCCUAACACAUGCAAGUCGAGCGGAAGCGGUUUUAAGGAAGUUUUCGGAUGGAAUUAAAACUGACUGAGCGGCGGACGGGUGAGUAACGCGUGGGUAACCUGCCUCAUACAGGGGGAUAACAGUUAGAAAUGACUGCUAAUACCGCAUAAGCACACAGCUUCGCAUGGAGCGGUGUGAAAAACUCCGGUGGUAUGAGAUGGACCCGCGU